UACGUAGGGUGCGAGCGUUAAUCGGAAUUACUGGGCGUAAAGUGUGCGCAGGCGGCCGAGCAAGUCGAGUGUGAAAGCCCCGAGCUUAACUUGGGAACUGCGCUCGAAACUACUUGGCUGGAGUGUGGCAGAGGGAGGUGGAAUUCCUGGUGUAGCAGUGAAAUGCGUAGAUAUCAGGAGGAAUACCGAUGGCGAAGGCAGGUCUCUGGGCUGACACUGACGCUCAUGCACGAAAGCGUGGGGAGCAAACAGG
rnacentral:rRNA from 1 species